GCAAUCAAUAGUGUUUUGGGUGAUAAAAGCAUGAAAUUUACUGUUCAUAAGGCUUUGGUGAAUAUCAGCCAUCGGUUUGAGUCUUUCAUCUCAGCCGCACAAUCGCUUCUUUCUCUCCCCUCUCUCUUUCUCCCUCUUCCUCUGUCUCUAUCUUCUCUCAUCUUUUUCUCUGUCUUCUUCGUCUCUCUCUAACAAGAGGAAGUGAAGAACCUUGAAAAAUCAGCAAUCAUCUGAUCUCUCCUCAAAAAAAUAAGCAAUCAUCUGAUCUUGUUGGUAAUUUUUUUUUUUCUCUAAUCGAUUUACAAGGUUUGAUUUCACCAAUUUCCUUUGUAUUUGUUUGUUUAAGGGCUAAAAGAAAGGAACUCUUUACGCCAUGUGUGGGAUUCGAAUUCGAAAAGUAUGUCCUUAACUCCACUUAUUCUUAUCGAUAUGGCAGAUUUGUUGAGGAAGACGUGAAAGAAAGAGGGAUCGUUUUCUUUGAGCCCAAACCCUAAUCCUCACUCCAGUUCCACUUUAAAAUUGCUGAUAGAUGGCUUGUUCAUCUUCAACAGCAUGGAGCAUGGCAACUCUAAAAGCUGCAUUGCCUUCUAUUCCUUCUUCUCCUGUGUUUAACAAGUUGCCGAUUUCAGCUGUCUGUAAUACUUCAUCCUCAAAGCCGCCAAGAGUGGGGCUAUCGCUACGGAGUUCUAAGCCUCUUUUACCACAGUUCAGUGGCCUUACUGCUCUCUGCCCCCUUCUCCCCUCUGGAUUAGGUUGGACAAACAGGAAAAAUUGUUGCACCAGAGCUAUACAUGGAUUUUGGGGUCUCAGGCGCCAUUCAACAAUUGGCAGGCAUGAGAGACUCAAAAGUCAUUGUAGCUGUAAAUAAGGACGCAGAUGCCCCCAUAUUCCAGGUUUAAGAGAGAGCUUGUUGCUGCGGAAGCCCUGUGGAGGCAUGGAAAUGACACUCAUCUCCCCAUUAAUCUCACUUCAUCAGGGGAGCAUCUCAUGAUGUUAUACAACGAGCUAAGACAACAAAAGAAGAUUGUAAUGAGCUUGCAGAAGAAAUCUCUUUGGUCUUGAAAGUUCGAGGAGGUAUACAAGUUGCUACCUUCUUUAGCGAUUUCUUAGAGUGGGAAAUUGAUGCUUUUCUUCUGCAUCCACAUCUUUCUUCCAGAUCCUGGUGAAACAUGCAUGGGUAGUGAAGAUGAUGGAGGACAAAAUCAACGAAGAAAUUGCAGCCUUGGAAAGUUCUCGAACAUUUGCUUUACUGGUUCCAAAGGUGGCAGUUGCGGGAUCUCCUCUAGCGAUAUCGAAGUGCUAGAUAGAAUAAGAUUCAGCAAAUGAAGGGAAUGGCGUAAAGUGUAAACAUUUGAUGUCUCUCGGUCGUGGCAAGUACUCUGAGAUACCCUUGGAAAAGGAGUUCUAACAUGUUUAUGGGAACAUACUAUCUACAUUUCUAUUUUCUUUGUAUUUAACAUUCUCCUUUGGGUUUGAAUAUGAAAUUUGAUCCUUUAGGAUCUAUUAUUUGGGACCA